rnacentral:lncRNA from 1 species
GGCUGGGGUGGGGGCACCUGCAGGGGCAGAAAGGAAACGCGGGCAGCCGCUCGGCAGACGCAAACAAGAAAAGCCCUCGUAGGGAACCGCGCGCUGCCAAAAAUAGUGCCAUGUGCUCGUGGCGGGUGAGGGGCGCCGGGGCAGCGCGGCGUCGGCACAUCGGAUCACUUGCGCUGCCAGCACAGGGACGCGUUUCAACGAGCGCUUGGCAGCGUCACGUCGAAGCGGGAAUGUUAACAUGUUUUGCUCAGCAUGAAUAUUUCAGGCGGAGCCCUUCGGCCAUGACCCCACUUCCUGAAAAUGACAGACUGUUCAAACAUCACGACAGGAUGCAGUCGAGUGAAAAAAUACCAUUAAAAACACAGCUGAUGCUCAAGAAAAGCACGCGAACAAUCGAGGACAAUCGAUUUGCUGGAUGUUCCAGAGAAACAGGAAACAAAAAAAAGGCUGAAAUGUUUUGGCUUUGGAAGCCUAACGAGACCGGAGUCGCUCUGGAAGCUCUCAGAGAAUCAGGCAUCGCCGAUGGAGCGUCGGGCUCCGAGCUCCACGUGUCGAUAUGAAGACCAGCGCCGACAGGGGUCUCGAUGUCUGCUCUUUGUCUGCUCUGCGUAGCGGCUGCUCUUCGUCGGUCAUCGUGCUCGCGGAGCAACCUGGUCGAACCCAAGUGCGGCCGGAGCUCCGGGCGGCUCGGAGCGGCCCGUUCGGCCCUUGGACUCAUCUCUCCGAGGGACGCGGUUCAUUCUGGGGUCGGACACUGCGGGGACUGCCUUGUGCAACUUUAAUUUCAUUGAUGUAAAAACAAAAAAAGUUGCAAAACAAUCAAGUCUGGAGCUACACCAACGAGUUGCAUAAUUCCUUGCGAACACGCGCUGCCGAGGAGCCCCGGGGGGGGCGGUGGCUGGGCAGGAAGCGGCGCUGGGGACCACAGCUGCUCUGCGUGGAGGCCCCUCCUUCCAGCCAGCGUCCCCGGGGUCUCGCUGCCUCCUCGAGCCCCUCCGAGCCCCUGGCCCCCUGUCCAUCCCUGCCCCCCGCAGGCCCUCGC